rnacentral:misc_RNA from 1 species
UUGUGGAGGAGGACGCCGAAGGUGGGGCUAAUGACUGGGGUGAAGUCGUAACAAGGUAGCCGUACCGGAAGGUGCGGCUGGAUCACCUCCUAACAGGGAGACAAAACUGAUUAUGAUGUCUGAAUCUUUUAUUUUUAGGCCAUAGUCCUGUCACCUUAGGUCGAUCGGUACCUCAGUUUAAUAUUCAUUAGCUAAGCAAUUAGUUUUUAAAAAAUAUUGAAUUCAGUUCCUAAACUUUGUCUAGUUCACACCCAACAAUGGUUCCUGGGCCAUUAGCUCAGGUGGUUAGAGCGCACCCCUGAUAAGGGUGAGGUCCCUGGUUCAAGUCCAGGAUGGCCCAUUCGGUGUUGGGGGUAUAGCUCAGUUGGUAGAGCGCCUGCUUUGCAAGCAGGAUGUCAGCGGUUCGAGUCCGCUUACCUCCACUGAUCGACCUUCUGAUAACGAAGCCUAAGGGUACCUUUUCUAUAAAUGUGAACUAGUUUUGUUCCCACUGAACGAACCUAGCUUCUUGUCAUUCCUUUUGGGAAAUAUUUGUUCCUAUUUACGGCUGAUAAGACGCUGGGCUCUCUGCAAUUCAUUGCAGAGAACUUCAGUAGAACCUUGACAACUGCAUAGUGAGUCUGGAAAAAAUAAAGCAUCUCAUGGAUGCAUAGUUUUGUAUUGAUGAUUUAGCUUUAAGACUGAAUUAUCGGUAAUACAGAAUUCAUGUUUAAUUCUUGAGUAAAAGCCGAGCACAAUUAAUUUUGUGAUUGUAUUAAGGUCAAGCUACAA